rnacentral:rRNA from 1 species
UACGUAGGGUGCAAGCGUUAAUCGGAAUUACUGGGCGUAAAGCGUGCGCAGGCGGCUUUGCAAGACAGAUGUGAAAUCCCCGGGCUCAACCUGGGAACUGCAUUUGUGACUGCAUGGCUGGAGUGCGGCAGAGGGGGAUGGAAUUCCGCGUGUAGCAGUGUAAUGCGUAGAUAUGCGGAGGAACACCGAUGGCGAAGGCAAUCCCCUGGGCCUGCACUGACGCUCAUGCACGAAAGCGUGGGGAGCAAACAGG